UCUUUCUCUUCUUCCGGCUCUCUCUGUUCUUCCUCACUUCUUUCCUCUUCCUCCCUCUUUUUUUCGUCAUCCCUCUAUUCUUUUCCUUUCAAACCCUAGGUAUAGGAAUAAAAAUUCAUCAUUGUUGCUUAUGAGUGAUGAGCACAACAUAAAAAGAAGAGGCUUGGAUGCACCGAAAACAAGUGUGUAGUGGUGUGAAGAUGUUCAUGUUCAUUUCCUUCUUCCAGAUCCAGUUUCUUCCCUUUUCAUAUGAGUGUAUGAGCUAGCAACUACUGCAAAAUUGGAAUAGAAGUGGUGGAAUCAACCAUGCUGUUGAACAUUAUAAAAAGAUUGGCUACCCACUUGCUGUAAAGCAUUACUACUGAUCUGGAAGCAGCAGAUGACACCCUUCCAUGAUAUUUUAUCUUGAAAAGUUUGUUUUAAAUAGUUUCAAUAGUUUACUGGUAGAGCUUGAUUUAAUUUACUACUGUAAAAUGAUUGAACAUUCAGAAUAUAACAUAAAAUUAUUGAACAGUCGCAAGGGAGAGAUGUUGGG